rnacentral:rRNA from 1 species
GACGAACGCUGGCGGCGUGCUUAACACAUGCAAGUCGAACGGAAAGGCCCUGCUUUUGUGGGUGCUCGAGUGGCGAACGGGUGAGUAACACGUGAGUAACCUGCCCUUGACUUUGGGAUAACUUCAGGAAACUGGGGCUAAUACCGGAUAGGAGCUCCUGCUGCAUGGUGGGGGUUGGAAAGUUUCGGCGGUUGGGGAUGGACUCGCGGCUUAUCAGCUUGUUGGUGGGGUAGUGGCUUACCAAGGCUUUGACGGGUAGCCGGCCUGAGAGGGUGACCGGCCACAUUGGGACUGAGAUACGGCGCAGACUCCUACGGGAGGCAGCAGUGGGGAAUAUUGCACAAUGGGCGGAAGCCUGAUGCAGCAACGCCGCGUGCGGGAUGACGGCCUUCGGGUUGUAAACCGCUUUCGCCUGUGACGAAGCGUGAGUGACGGUAAUGGGUAAAGAAGCACCGGCUAACUACGUG